GCGCGACGCGGGCAGGCGAGCGGGCGAGUGCGCGCACGCCGAACCCUUUCAGCUCGCGCGCGGGCUGCGGGAGGGACUACGUUCAAGAGUCGUGGGCGUAGGAAAAAAGCGAUUGGUACUGGGGCGGGGCGGAGGGCGAGUGCGCGCACGCGCACGAAUGGGAGUGCGAACGCUGGCUGCGCGGAGGCCGCCGGACUCUGACUGCGGGGAGGCCGCUGGACUCUGGUCGCGGCCUUAGUCCGCUGAUCUUCGCUUGGGUGCCCGCCCUUAGCGGCGCGGCGUUGAAUUCCGGGAAAUGGGAGCUUCAGGCUCGCUCCGUGCGGCUUGAGUGGAUUUCAGCCAGUUGCAACUGAAAGAGCCCUGCCUCAGUUUGACUGUGAAUGGGGUUGCAAAUAAUAAACCUCAGAGAAACUGAAACUGGCUGAUUCGAGAGACACAACCAAUCUAAAGAUGAAGACAUCACACAGAAGAGAAGAGAACCGAGGAAAUCACAGAGAAAUGGAGCUAGAGCUGCUGGGUGAAGCUGACUCUGAGGCUUCUCAUAAACUCUGUGCUUCCAAUUGUGAAAAUAAAUGCAGUUCUCAUCUUUUUUUUUUUUUUGGUUUUGGGGAAGACUCUGUGGUAACACAAGAAGACAGUCAUCUACAAGCCAAGACCAGAGGCCUCAGAAGAGAACAACCCUAGUGAUACCUUGAUCUCAGACUUCUAGCCUCCAGAACUGUGAGAAAAUAAAUUUCUGUCAUCUCA